rnacentral:rRNA from 1 species
AGAGUGAACGCUGGCGGCAGGCCUAAUACAUGCAAGUCGAACGGCAGCACGGCAGAGCUUGCUCUGUGGGUGGCGAGUGGCGGACGGGUGAGGAAUACAUGGGAAUCUGCCCAGUCGUGGGGGAUAACGUAUGGAAACGUACGCUAAUACCGCAUGCGCCCUUCGGGGGAAAGCCGGGGACCUUCGGGCCUGGCGCGAUUGGAUGAGCCCAUGUCGGAUUAGCUAGUGGCGGGUAACGCCCACCAAGGCGACGAUCCGUAGCUGGUCUGAGAGGAUGAUCAGCCACACUGGAACUGAGACACGGUCCAGACCUCCGUACGGGAGCAGCAAGUAGGGAAUAGUUGGACAAGUCGGGCGCGAAGCCUAGACUACCAGACCAGUCGCCGCGGU